rnacentral:misc_RNA from 1 species
AAACUGCGAUAAGUAGUGUGAAUUGCAUUUAGUGAAUCAUCGAAUCUUUGAACGCACCCUGCACUCACUGGUAUUCCGGUGAGUACGCCUGUUUCAGUAUCAUUGAAAACACACAAUCAAAACAUUUUCUUUGGUUUGAUUGGCUUUGGGUCUAUCAAAAAGUUUGGCUUGUUUCUUACAAGCCAAGCGGCCUGAAAUAUAUUGUCUGGCUAAUUGCAUCGUUGAUGAUCGCUAUUAGACUUUGGCUUUUUUAAAUGAACUGGAGGUUGAUUAACCAGUUUUAGCUUUAGUCAAAUGGUCAUUUUAAAAAAAAUCUCGAUCUUGGCUAGGUGUUUAUAGCCGAAAAUUUUUUUUUGGCUAUAACCGAAACCAAUAUAAUCACAUUUAGUUAUCGAUCUGAAAUCAGGUGGGACUACCCGCUGAACUUAAGC